UCCAGACUCCUACGGGAGGCAGCAGUGGGGAAUAUUGCACAAUGGGGGAAACCCUGAUGCAGCGACGCCGCGUGAGCGAUGAAGUAUUUCGGUAUGUAAAGCUCUCUCAGCAGGGAAGAAGAUGACGGUACCUGACUAAGAAGCCCCGGCUAACUACGUGCCAGCAGCCGCGGUAAUACGUAGGGGGCAAGCGUUAUCCGGAUUUACUGGGUGUAAAGGGAGCGUAGACGGCGAUGCAAGCCAGAUGUGAAAGCCUGGGGCUCAACCCCGGGACUGCAUUUGGAACUGUGUGGCUGGAGUGUCGGAGAGGCAGGCGGAAUUCCUAGUGUAGCGGUGAAAUGCGUAGAUAUUAGGAGGAACACCAGUGGCGAAGGCGGCCUGCUGGGCGAUGACUGACGUUGAGGCUCGAAAGCGUGGGGAGCAAACAGGAUUAGAUACCCUAGUACC
rnacentral:rRNA from 1 species